UACGUAGGGCGCAAGCGUUAUCCGGAAUUACUGGGCGUAAAGGGCGCGUAGGCGGGAUGGCAAGUCGGUCGUGAAAUCCCUCGGCUCAACCGAGGAACGUCGAUCGAUACUGCUGUUCUUGAGGAUUGCAGAGGAGACUGGAAUUCCCGGUGUAGCGGUGAAAUGUGUAGAGAUCGGGAGGAACACCGGUGGCGAAGGCGGGUCUCUGGGCAAUUCCUGACGCUGAGGCGCGAAAGCGUGGGGAGCAAACGGG
rnacentral:rRNA from 1 species